UACGAAGGGGGCUAGCGUUGUUCGGAAUCACUGGGCGUAAAGCGCAUGCAGGCGGAUCGUUAAGUCGGGGGUGAAAUCCCGAGGCUCAACCUCGGAACUGCCUUCGAUACUGGCGAUCUUUGAGUCCGGGAGAGGUGAGUGGAACUGCGAGUGUAGAGGUGAAAUUCGUAGAUAUUCGCAAGAACACCAGUGGCGAAGGCGGCUCACUGGCCCGGUACUGACGCUGAGAUGCGAAAGCGUGGGGAGCAAACAGG
rnacentral:rRNA from 1 species